rnacentral:rRNA from 1 species
CAGUCGAGCGGAUGACGGGAGCUUGCUCCUUGAUUCAGCGGCGGACGGGUGAGUAAUGCCUAGGAAUCUGCCUGGUAGUGGGGGACAACGUUUCGAAAGGAACGCUAAUACCGCAUACGUCCUACGGGAGAAAGCAGGGGACCUUCGGGCCUUGCGCUAUCAGAUGAGCCUAGGUCGGAUUAGCUAGUUGGUGGGGUAAUGGCUCACCAAGGCGACGAUCCGUAACUGGUCUGAGAGGAUGAUCAGUCACACUGGAACUGAGACACGGUCCAGACUCCUACGGGAGGCAGCAGUGGGGAAUAUUGGACAAUGGGCGAAAGCCUGAUCCAGCCAUGCCGCGUGUGUGAAGAAGGUCUUCGGAUUGUAAAGCACUUUAAGUUGGGAGGAAGGGCAGUAAGCUAAUACCUUGCUGUUUUGACGUUACCGACAGAAUAAGCACCGGCUAACUCUGUGCCAGCAGCCGCGGUAAUACAGAGGGUGCAAGCGUUAAUCGGAAUUACUGGGCGUAAAGCGCGCGUAGGUGGUUUGUUAAGUUGGAUGUGAAAGCCCCGGGCUCAACCUGGGAACUGCAUCCAAAACUGGCAAGCUAGAGUACGGUAG